ACUUACUGUACAUGGAUUGUAUACUGUGUAGGGUAUCAGUACUUACAAUACACAGUAUACAAUCCAUGUACAGUAAGU